AUAAGCGGAGGAAAAGAAACCAACAGGGAUUGCCUCAGUAACGGCGAGUGAAGCGGCAAUAGCUCAAAUUUGAAAUCUGGCGUCUUCGGCGUCCGAGUUGUAAUUUGUAGAGGAUGCUAUUGAGUUGUCACCGGUCUAAGUUCCUUGGAACAGGACGUCACAGAGGGUGAGAAUCCCGUAUGUGACCGGCCAGACGCUCUCUGUAUAGCUCCUUCGACGAGUCGGGUUGUUUGGGAAUGCAGCCCUAAAUGGGAGGUAAAUUUCUUCUAAAGCUAAAUACCGGCCAGAGACCGAUAGCGCACAAGUAGAGUGAUCGAAAGAUGAAAAGCACUUUGGAAAGAGAGUUAAAAAGCACGUGAAAUUGUUGAAAGGGAAGCGCUUGCAAUCAGUCUCGACGGCGGCUGUUCGGCCUCUCUUCUGAGUGGUUUAUUCAGUCGCCGCCGGGCCAGCAUCAGUUCUGGCGGUCGGAUAAAGGCGCGGGGAAUGUAGCUCCUCUCGGGGAGUGUUAUAGCCCUGCGUGCAAUACGGCCUGCCGGGACUGAGGUCCGCGCUUCGGCUAGGAUGCUGGCGAAAUGGUUGUAAGCGGCCCGUCUUGAAACACGGACCAAGGAGUCUAACAUCUAUGCGAGUGUUUGGGUGUCAAACCCGUACGCGUAAUGAAAGUGAACGGAGGUGGGAACCGCAAGGUGCACCAUCGACCGAUCCUGAUGUCUUCGGAUGGAUUUGAGUAAGAGCAUAGCUGUUGGGACCCGAAAGAUGGUGAACUAUGCCUGAAUAGGGUGAAGCCAGAGGAAACUCUGGUGGAGGCUCGCAGCGGUUCUGACGUGCAAAUCGAUCGUCAAAUUUGGGUAUAGGGGCGAAGACUAAUCGAACC
rnacentral:rRNA from 1 species